UGUGGUUGUGUUGCACGGAUGUCACGGAUUAGCGGGCGCAUUUGCACAGACAGCAGAGCGAUUACGAUACAACCAUCAUCAUAGUAGGCACAAUGCUUGAGAUUGCAGGGCGGCAGCGAGCGCGUAUCAUUCUUUCCGUGUGUUUACAAAAUGGCUGUGUGUGUGUGUUUUUAAAAUUGUGAAUAGUGAAAUUUUACAUACAGUUAGCAUUCUAUUAGAAACUGGUUAAUACUCUGAUGUGCUUUGCAAUUCAUUGUAAUACUUUUUAGAUGCUCAUUUGCUCGAUUGUUUUUUUUUUAGAAAGAUAAGUAAGAGAGAAUCAGUAAUCGGGGGACGGUUUUGCAAGCGAAACACGAGCCGUUUGGUUUUGGAUUUUUACAGAGAUGUGUUAACUGUACACUGUAGCGGAUCUCACUCUAUCUAUUUUCGAAUCAACGAAAUCAUUUCGGACUCGAGUAUUUCUUCUUUCAAUCAAUUUGGUCCCAGCCCUGCAGUAAUCUACCAUUCGAUUGGGAAGCUUAAGCGGAAGCUUGGGAUGCUGGAAAUUGAGAUAGCUUUCGCGGAAGAGUUGAUAUCGGUUACAGUGUGACGGGUGUGAAUAAAACAGUUGGAGUGAAAAAUUGGCUUUUCAUCAGAACCAUAACAUGCAGGAGUCCUCUUGGCCGUGCUGCAAAAUGUCAGUGGUAAUGUCAUAAAAAAUUCUGACUGACUCAAACUUUCA